rnacentral:rRNA from 1 species
UACGGAGGGUGCGAGCGUUGUCCGGAAUCACUGGGCGUAAAGGGCGCGUAGGUAGCCGAGCAAGGUCGCGGUGAAAGCCCGGGGCUCAACCCCGGGUCGGCCGUGGCAACUACUGGGCUGGAGCACUGUAGGGGCAGAUGGAAUUCCGGGUGUAGCGGUGGAAUGCGUAGAGAUCCGGAAGAACACCGGUGGCGAAGGCGGUCUGCUGGGCAGUUGCUGACACUGAGGCGCGACAGCGUGGGGAGCAAACAGG